UCGUCUCCUUGAGCAAAAAUUUUAAAUACAAUGAGGUGAUUCUUCUUACUGUUAUCGUUCAUAACUUUCGAACAGUAAGUCAAUGUGAUUUAUUGCUUUGCAACACUGUGAAAUAGUUUUUUAUAACCUUGAAAAUUAUACCAUCUUUUUGGCUUGGUUUGGUAUGUAGGUAUAUAAUGGAAUCUUUGAACGUGAUUUUCACCCCUUCAAAAUGUGGUAUUGAUUUGAAACUUGGCUCACUGAUCAAGAACCGAUGAUAAUUUAAUAAUUUAAAAUUGUCCGAUCAUCCUGAUCCCAUGGAGUUAAUAAGUAGUUGUAUAGUAACUCUAUGCCUGAUCCUCAGGAUUAACGUUGAAAACACGAUUGUGUCUUGUGCCACAUACUAAGGCUAGAACUACCUACGCCUUACGUCCCUUCUACCCUCCUGAUAUAGCUUGGAUGGACGAACGGGAUCACGGCCCCCUUGUUAUAAAAUGGUUACCGAAGCCCAAUACCGUCUUUACCAUAAGGGCACACGGGUCCGUGCCCAGGGCCCCCAUUCUCAGGGGGCCCCGAAGAACCGACAAUUUGGUUACCAAUUGUAGUCGAGAGCGGUCAUUUUCGCAGCUUAAGAAAAUAAAAAAUGAAUUGCGAACAACAAUGUUACAAGAACGGCUGAGUAGUUUGUCAAUUAUGGGUAUAGAAAGUGAUAUCCUUCAAAAAAUUGACUUUAAAGAUAUAAUGGAAUAUUUUGCUCAACAGAAAUCCCGAAAGAAACCAUUAUCGUAAUCGUAACCAAAAAACCAGCAGCAUUCUAAUAUAAUUAAUAUUAUUAUAUCAUACUGUAUUAGAUUACCUAUGAUAAAUGGUCAUACUCAAUAAAAAAAUGUUAUUAUUA